UAAAAAACAAUUAACUCAAUUUAAGAAUUUUUGCUAAAUAAUGAGUGAGUAGUUCACCAACAAGUACCAUGUCCUUCUCAUAUGAAACUUCAACUGCUUGUUGCAAAUUUAUGCACUGUUCUAGACUUUCCUUUUGGAUUUUUCACUUGAAAGUUGAAACGUAUUUUUCUUCUUUCCUUUUUGAUCUCAUUCUCUUUGACUGGUGCACUACAAUGACUUGAAUGCAUUGCCGAAGGUCUCUUUAAAGUUUGGGUACCGAACAACCUUUUGUUGAAACAAAUAGCAAACUCCACAUACAAGAAACAUCAAAAAAUAAAAGCUUAUAGGGUAUUUAACUUAUUUUAAUGUUAAGAUGUCUCUAGACUAGUAGCACUAUAUAAGUUAUGAUUGAGUUUCGGCGCUUGGACCAAAGAAAUUAUUUGUCUAUUCAAGUUACCACGCGAGGGACUUCCUAUAAUAUGAUCAUCCAUGUUUUCUAAGAAUGUUCUAGUUUCCCCUAUUCUGAUCUUCUUAUUACAUCACUCAACUAUUGCUGUUAAAAUUUCAGUUUUGGAAAUAACCAGUUUAAAUUAAUUGCAAGGAGAUUUAGAUGUGGUAAGCUGUUAGGAAGAGCCUACGUCUGUUUCUGUCAGUUGUGCUUCACUCCAUAUAAUUCCUUUUCUUUUCUUCGGAGCUUCAGUCCAUAUAAUUUACUGUUUUAUCUUGAUGACAACAGUGUUUAUUGCAUUCUCAUGAUUCUGUUUAAAUUCCACCGAGUUUCCCCAUUUCCUUUGUUGUAUAGCAUCUGACUCCUCCCCUCUCCCUACUUGUACAAAAGAAGAAUAAACUCAGUAUCUAAAAUAUCUGCUCAGAUACGUUGGUGAAGAUAAUAAAGGGUAUCCACAGACGGUGCCAUUGAAUUUUGUUGAUGAGCUAUUCAUGAUAUAAAGCUAGGAGUGCUGUGAUACAAAGAGAAAAUGUAUGUCCACUACUAGUUUCACCUUGCUUUCAUGCCAGCCAAUACUUAAAUUUGUGCGGAAGUAUGUAGUACGCCCUAGAACAAUUUCGUCGAUUUUACUUUUCAGCUCCUUUUUCUUAGGAGAAUGCUGUACUGUUUAACAGGGAUGCGUCUCUAACAGUCUUCCUUGGGAUAGGAAAGUGAAGUAUUUGGUCGGCAUGACAUUGGCUUGUCAUGAUUGGAAAAAUGUAGAGAGGGGAAAACUGACCCUUUGGCAUGUGAAUGGAACAUAUUCUGUGGUAUAUUAUCGAUGGAUUGGUGAAACGGUAGAGGUAACUAAGACAUUUCAUAGUCUCACGCUCUCAACAGACCCUUAGUGGCAGAGCUAACCGGUACCUAUGAAUAAUCGAGGUGCGCAAGCUGGCUCGGACACCACUGUUAUUAAAAAAGAAAAAGCUAAGCAAUUUCACAUAAUCCACUUACAUGGAGACAGAUUGGAACAUUUUGCACAGUGGUGCUUUUGGAGACUGUGAUUGCUCACAGCUGGAAAAUUCAAGGUAAGUUAGUUUUUGUCCAUAGAAAGAUUGCAAAUGGUGGCUUUAGAUUUUGUUCUGCAAUGAUUUUCUUUUCCCCCUAAAUGCUGCUUUUUAUUCAUCCUAUUUACCUUUAUCUCUUUUACUGUUCUUGGUAAAUUGAAAACUCUGAAGGAACAAUUCCAAGUCCCAUACAUUGUAGAAAUCCAUAGAAGUUUCUCAAUACACUCAUACAAGUUAAUCUUUAUGUCUCUGCAAUGUUGGUUUUCUUUUCAUGCUUUAGACAAUAGAACUUUAUGAAUAUAUGACACACUUCUCCUUACUUCUACUUCACGGGAUAAUUUCUCUGUUCAUUAAAACUUUCGCAAUUGAAGGGACUUCAACAAACAAAGUUACAAAAGAUUCUAGUGUCUUGAGUCUUGGCUAUUGUGUGUCCUGGCUCUCAUAAUGAUUUAGCAAUACAUAUUCAUCUUUAUAGGUCUUGACUUCUCCUACAUAUCUCUUUUUUUAUUUCCUAGUGGUUGCUUAUAAUUGACCUGCUUCUCUGCUCUCGAAGAAGGAAAUGUCUGCCAAAACUGACUUUUUAUCGUUUCCCGUGUUUUAGAUUCAUGCUUGAAACACCAGCAUGGACCUUGUCAAAAUGCUAGGCUGGAAAAGACUUCUGUUAGAUGUGUUUCAGUGUCAUGAUUGGCAAGGGAAAUUGCAUUUCAUAAACUCGUUUGCAUUUGGCUGAAACUGGAUUGGAGAUAUUAUUUCUUUGUAUGUAGAAAAUUCACUGGUACAUUUCUCUGCCAUGGCUGUAUGCUAUAAAGUUUAUUGAGGUUGUUACAAUCUUAUGCCGAAGGACUAGAAAGCCAUUCAUCGGAAGUACGUAAUGGACUACCAUCGACUAGUGCAAUCGUGCAUUAGUCCUUGAAACCUAAGCUUGAUCGUUCCAACGUGGUGCUGAACUUGAACGUAAUCCCGUAUUUGUCUUAAUGGAUUGAUGUUGCAUGCUAAUAAUAUUCUUUUCAAAAUACGAUGAAAUUCAUUUAUUGCAUCACUCAACUAUGUAUGAAAUUGUGUAACUGUUAAAAUAUCAGUUUUGUAAGGGAAUAUGUUGGUUUGCAAGCAGAUUUAGGAUGUAAGCUGUUAGGACGAGUCUACAUUAGUUUCAGUCAAUUUGGUGCUUCACUCCUUAUAAUUCUUCUUCAUUUUUUCUUUUGCCAGAACUUCAGUCCACGUAAUUAUAUUGAUGGGAACGUUUAUUGCAUUCUCACAAAUAUUUAAACUUUA